rnacentral:tRNA from 1 species
UGGCUCAGUGGUAGAGCACUUGCCUUGCAUGCAUGAGGCCCUAGGUUCCAUUCCUCAG